rnacentral:ncRNA from 1 species
CGACCUCGUGUUAGGGUAGAGUACCCGCCAAAUUUAAGCAUAUUAAUAAGCGGAGGAAAAGAAACCAACAGGGAUUCCCUUAGUAAGGGCGACUGAACUGGGAAAAGCCCAGCGCAUAACCUGGCGUCGUGACCCGGCGCCAGGGGUGUUGCGUUUCGGAGGGUCCGGCACGCAGUCUCUCACCGCCUAAGUUAU